GUGGGUACAGCUCAGUGGUAGAGUGUGUGCUUAGCAUGCAUGAGGUCCUGGGUUCCAGCCCCAGUGCCUCCG
rnacentral:tRNA from 1 species